GUGAAGGGAAUUCUGUACCCUUGGGCCCUUACGUCAGCCCUGCUGUCUAGAUUCCUCUUCCAGAUCUUACAAGUUCCCAAAGCAAGCCUCCCAUAUUUAAACAAAAUCAAGGAUUUUACAUUAAUACCCCUUAAAGUCACAUCCCUUUUAAUAGCUAUUUUCAGAAAAUGUGUGUUGUUUUAUUCUAGAAUCACAGUUCAUGGGCCUCCUGAAGAACCUCUUGGCCACUACAUUGAGAAACUAAGCAACAAGAUGAGCAAACGCAACAAAAAUGCCCAUUCAGUAUACCUAUUCUUGGACUUCUCUUGGUCUGAAGUGCAAUAUUUAGUCUGUGGGCUUGUGAAAUGACUACAUCAAUAAACAAGGAUACAUUGGCUAUUCUGACUCUCCAAAUUUGAAUUUCUGGGACUGGAGGGUGCCCUGGAAGAACAAGGCUUCCAUCUGGCAGCUACCAGGCUGGAGCUGCUCCCUGUGAUCAAGGCUAUGGUUUUUCCAGUGGUUGUGUACGGAUGGCAGAGUUGGAC
ensembl:lncRNA